GAUGAACGCUGGCGGCGUGCCUAAUACAUGCAAGUCGAGCGAACGGACGAGAAGCUUGCUUCUCUGAUGUUAGCGGCGGACGGGUGAGUAGCACGUGGAUAACCUACCUAUAAGACUGGGAUAACUUCGGGAAACCGUAGCUAAUACCGGAUAAUAUUUUGAACCGCAUGGUUCAAAAGUGAAAGACGGUCUUGCUGUCACUUAUAGAUGGAUCCGCGCUGCAUUAGCUAGUUGGUAAGGUAACGGCUUACCAAGGCAACGAUGCAUAGCCGACCUGAGAGGGUGAUCGGCCACACUGGAACUGAGACACGGUCCAGACUCCUACGGGAGGCAGCAGUAGGGAAUCUUCCGCAAAGGGCGAAAGCCUGACGGAGCAACGCCGCGUGAGUGAUGAAGGUCUUCGGAUCGUAAAACUCUGUUAUUAGGGAAGAACAUAUGUGUAAGUAACUGUGCACAUCUUGACGGUACCUAAUCAGAAAGCCACGGCUAACUACGUG
rnacentral:rRNA from 1 species